rnacentral:rRNA from 1 species
GACGAACGCUGGCGGCGUGCUUAACACAUGCAAGUCGAACGGAAAGGCCCUGCUUUUGUGGGGUGCUCGAGUGGCGAACGGGUGAGUAACACGUGAGUAACCUGCCCUUGACUUUGGGAUAACUUCAGGAAACUGGGGCUAAUACCGGAUAGGAGCUCCUGCUGCAUGGUGGGGGUUGGAAAGUUUCGGCGGUUGGGGAUGGACUCGCGGCUUAUCAGCUUGUUGGUGGGGUAGUGGCUUACCAAGGCUUUGACGGGUAGCCGGCCUGAGAGGGUGACCGGCCCAUUGGGGCUGAGAUACCGCCCCCGACCCCUCGGGGGGGAAGAGGGGGGGAAUUUUCAACAAGGGGCGGAGCCCGGAGGCAGAACCCCCGGGGGGGGGAGUACGGCCUUCGGUUUUAAACCCGCUCCCCCUUGUAACGAGGGGUGGGUGACGGUAAUGGUAAAAGAACCACCGCCUAACUACUG